rnacentral:lncRNA from 1 species
GGCGUGCCAAUGUCAAGUGCUGAACCUGAAGAGCGAAUGAGAUCCCUGGACACUUCCUUCUACCAGAGCCAAAUGGUAAAAAUUCAAAAUCCUGACCAUUAACAUCCAACUUGGCAUUUUCAUUUAGGAAUCUAUCAGGUAUAAAUUCUGAUGGGUUUGCCCAAAUGCUGGGGUCACGAUGCAUCUUCCACAAGUUAACUAUAAGCCGUGUGCCUGCUGGGAUGUGGUAGCCAUCAAUGGUGCAAUCCUCCAUGGCCUCACGUGGAGCUGAAAGUGGUAGCGGAGGGCAUAAUCUUAAUGUUUCUUUGACAAUUGCUUGUAAGUAUAUCAGGUUCUUAACAUCAGAUUCCUCAACUUGCCGGUUCUUUCCAACAUGGAUGUCAAGCUCAUCUUGUGCCUUUUUUAGUACAUGCCGGUUGUUCAAUAGAAGAGAUAGUGCCCAUGUAAAUGUGGUCACUGUGGUAUCAUUGCCACCUGAUAUUACGCUCUGCAAAAUGAACAAGAGUACACAGAGAGAUGGUCACUUAAAUAGUUAUCAUUCCAGUAAUCUGUAGUUACUGAUAGAUCAUGAGCAGAUGGAUUUCAUUGGCUUCCCUAUAUCACCUUUUAUUUUAAUUUAGCUUUUGCCAAAAGAAACAAAAAAUCAAUCGUCAUAUUCUCAACAGUUUUCAGGAGAGAUCAGACCCUAGCCAAAUUAAGUUCUACUUUUCUAAUGCUUUUGCAUCUUCAUCGUAGACAGUAGUUAAUUUCUCUCUUAUCUGUGUAAAUCUAUGUUGCAGAAUUCACAGGGACUUACCAAGCAAGUGGCCUUAAUGACAGUAUCGGCAUCCUCAGGAGAAGUCUUGCCAUCAUCCAUGACAGACAGCAUGACAUCAAUGAAGUCUUCCUCAUCCUUGUUGAUGCUCCCGUUGAGCCUCUUAUGACGAUGCUCGUGCACCAGCCUACCAAACACAUCAUCCAACUCCUUUGCUGUUCUCUUCAUUUGACCUGUGUAUCCCUUUACAGUAUCUAACCAACCAAGAAAUGGAAUGUUAUCUGAGGCCAAGAAUAGCCCUAAUAGAUAUAAGAAAUCACGCAAGGCCUUCUGAAAUCGUUUUGAUUCUUGAUCAUCCGCAUUGGUGUCCUAACCAUAAUAUCUUUUACCAGCAACCAUUCUGACUAUAAUAUUCAUUGCCAAGUCCUUAAACCUUUCCUUCAUCUCAACAGCAACAUGGCCCCCAUUUUUGGCACAUUGUUCGUGUAACUCUUUGAUAAAGACUUUGACUUCAGUGUCACGAACAUGCUUGAGCAACUCAAGCCGAUGAUUUGAGAGAAGUUGGGCCGUGGAAAGUUUUCUAACUUCUCGCCAAUACGAUCCGUAAGGAGCAAAGCCAAUAAUGGCAUGGUCAUAACCCAUGAGCUUCGCAGCUAAGGUUUUGGACGUGUGGAGAAGAGCUUGUCAUUGGUGCUGAAACAUUCUUUUGCCACUUCCCAGCUGCUAAUCACAAGUGCUCGAUGAAUUCCAAGGUGGAUCAAGAAGGCUCUUCCGUACUUAUCAGCCAUUUUCCCAAGUGUUCGGUGUAUUAACUGGUUUGAUCCUGCCAGGAGAUGAAGGUGACCGACACAAGGCCACGCCCCUGCCGCUUCUGGUGGCUUCCUGCCUCCUUUCUUGUUCCUUUUGGCAAUGCUUGUAGCCACAUAGACGCAGAUAAUUGAAAAAAUGAAAGCAUAAAAGGCUACGAUUUCUUGCAGGUGAUGGGAGAAUCCCAUUGGUUUUCAGUAUUACAGAAACUAGAUCCGUAAUUCCCGAUUGAAGACUCUCUGUACAUUCAAAUAUGCUAUCUUUUAACCAAAGUUAGUUGGUGUGAAUGGUUCGGCACUCGCACUCUUUAAGAGAGGUUAGGGGUUUAAGCUCCGCUCUCAUAUGGAGUCACCACUUUAGCCAGCACUUUAUCCCUUACGGGCGAACCCGGUGCGAGCAUGGAUUAGUCUGGGUUGUGCUAUGGGCUUAAAGAUACCUCUCAUAGUUAGGGUCCACUCAGGACCACCUCGUGGCUCAGACAAAAAAAAUAUAUAUAUGCUAUCUUUUGUAUUUAAUCAGCGGUAAUAUUUUACUCUCUUAUUAUAUCUCACAAGUGACUAGCCUCUACUUUUCGGUUAAUCCCAAUUAAUAAUUUCAAACUAAUCUUUAUUUCUCAGCAUACUCCACGUAAUGUUGAAUUUAACUUUAUUAUAAUUUUUUAUCUUUUUUUUAAACAUUCUGCAUGUAAAAUUUAUAAAAUCUAUUCUAAAAGGAUUUUUUUUUUCCACAAUCACUAUAAUCUUUCACAUUCUUUUUAAAGGUUUUAUCCAUUAUUAUUAUGCCUAUAAGAAAAGAUUUGAUACUUCUUCAUCAUAAUCUAUUGUGCAUUGUAAAUUAAUUUCUUCUAAUAUUUGAGAAUAGAAAAUAAUUUAAAAAGCUAAAAAGAAAUAAGGGUUUAAGAAAUUAACUUAGCUAAAUUAUAUAUUAAUAGAAAUUAUUAUGUGGGUGCACUUAAAAAUUAUUUACUUUUAAGUUAUUUCAUAUAAAAAUAAAAUAUGUAUUAGUAUAAUAAUGAUUAGCAGGGGCUGGUGCGAUAUAAUGAGGGGUAUAAAAUAUUGUAGUGGGAGAUAAAGGUUAAUAUAUUCCACAAAUGCAACUCGAUAAGAUUCAUUUAUUCCACAAAUGUAGCCCGAUAAGGUUUAUAUAUUCUAAAAAUGCAGCCCCACAAGGUUCAUAAUUCCACAAAUACAGCAUGAUAAGAUUCAUAUAUUCUAUAAAUGCAGUCGGAUAAGGUUCAUAUGUUCUACAAAUGCACCUCGAUAAGGUUCAUAUAUUCCACAAAUGCAGCCUGUCAAGUUUCAUAUAUUCCACAAAUGCAGCCUUGACAUUUAAGCUGUCAAUUUAUCUAAAAUCAAUAUAUAUCAUUUAUCUCUAUAGUUUUCAUAAUAGCCAAUAAUCUCCUUAAUAAUAUAAUUUUAUAUUAUGAUUUUUAUUUUUAAAUAUAUUUUUAUUCAUAUUUAUUAUAAAUUAAAUAAAUUAUAUCAAUAGAAAUUAAAAAAAAAUUUCAGUAUUAAAAGAAGAAAAUGUAUGAUUUAGGUGACGUUUGUUUUUUAUCUGAAAUCUAAAUAUACCCGAAUUAAUCUGAAUUCUGAAUAGAGCUGAAUGUUUAAAUCUAAAUGACAUGUUUGUUUUUUUGUCUGAAUAGCUAAAAAUAAAUAUUAAGUUGUUUGCUUGUUUAACUUAAAAAAAAUCUGAAAACUAAUAUUUUUACAUUUAUACCCUUACAAAUUAUAAUGUUAAACAAAUAAUAAACAUCUCAAAGAAUAUAAAUAAGGUGAUAAAUUAUCAUAACAUAAAUCAUAUUCAAUUGAGUACAACUCUUUAAUAUUUUAUAUCAUAUAUGUUAAUCAAUUGAGUACAACUUUUUAAUAUGCAGUAACCUAUUCAUGCUUCUGCUCGAUGUUUUGUAAGUGCUGCUCGAUAUCUUGUAAGUGUUACUGUAGCUUUAUUUCUUCAAUAUUUAUUCCUCCUACAAUAUUCAUUAGGUUAUGCUCGCCACAUGUUUGGUUUCCUACCCUUGGCUCUUACUUGUCACAGAGCAUUCUAUUGUUGGGCUCUAGGAAGUUUUGGUUUUCCUAUGAAUUUCUUCCGCUAAACCUUCUUCGCCUCUCUCUCAAUUCGUGCAAUACCACCAUCAGGGCUUCCAUUUGCCCUUCUAUCCACUCUAUCCUCUCAUGUAUGCUAUAUCGCACACUUUUUUUACUAUCGCAUAUUAGUUAUGCAACUCAAGAGGGUGGUGAAUUGAGAUUCUAAAAAUUAUUCAAUACUAAAUCGAAACUAGAUGCAAAUCUUAAAUAAAUUUGAAGCAAUAAUAAAUAAACCAAUCAAAAUAUAAAAAGAUAAGAGAAGAGAGAUUUAAACAAUGAGAUUUUUACGUGGUUCGACCAACCUCACCUAUGUCUACACCUCUAAGUAAACCGAGCUUGAGGAUUUCACUAUCCAAGCCUCCCAAGGCUUCAAAUGCUUACAAUUGACUUCCAAGGUAUUAAUGGACCUUUACAACAAGAGAUUAUCCUCAAUCUCUUAACCCAAGUGUAUUCUGUUGAGUGUUAGAAAAUGUAUAUUUAUAAAAGAGAAAAUCGUUAUUUUACAUUUCAAGUCUUACUAACACCCUUACUUUUAUGUAUUUAAGCUUCUUGUGAUUUAAUUACGUAUGUUUUAUUUUAAUUAAGUAUUUUAUGUAUUUUAGGGGCAUCAUGGUCAUUUCACAAUGAACGAGAAAUCAGACGGCAGAACAGACAUCACUUUUGAACUCAAGACAGUCGAAAACCUUAGGAGGCGUAUAAAAGAAAAAAUGUAACUGUUCACAUGUACGACACUAUUCACAUGUACGAUACUGUUCAUGACACUGUUCAUGACACUGUUCACACAUACGGAAUGAUGACGUGGCAUUGACCGAUGAUGCUGUGGCAUUGACUGAUGAGGUGUCACGAUUCUACUGGACAAAAUUUAUAUAUACUGUUGAUCGGUGACGUGGCAGCAUGUUAGUGGACCAAAAAUCGGGCGUAUGGUACAUACAUAUACACAUGAUUAUUUUCAACCAAACUGCGUCACUAUUCAAGCCGGUUGACUGUUCAAACUACGUGGUCAAACCGCGUACUGUUGACUGAUGACGUGGCGCAAUCCUGAGCAUCCAAACUGUUUUUAAUCCGAUGACCAUGAUUUACACAAUGUAUCUAUAAAAAAGGGGCCUCCCCCCCUAAUUUGAUAUCUCUGAAUUCAUUUUUGAGCUCCAUUUUCUAUAAUUUCUUCUCUAUCUUGUAUUUUCUACGUAUUUUAAUAAAUUUUCAUUUUACCACUAGUUCAAUUAUGAGUAGCUAAUUUUCUUUCAAACUUGGGUUGAAUGUGAAGUCUCAACAUGUGCCAUGAACUUUAAUUGGUAAAUUUACUUUCUCUUCCCCUCUAAUUUUUGUGGAUGUUUUGACUUUUCAUCGACAAAUAGUAAUAAUCUUGUCUAGAUAACGCCCUGGUUUCACCGGCUCCUUAGUACAAAAUUAUUAUUAUUUGGCACGAUAAGCCCUUAGCACCAUAUUGAUUAGAGUGUGGUUCAUGAGGUGUGGAAUCCCCCAUCAUGAUUUAAUUGGCAUUAAUAAGAAAUAUUUAGCCCAUGGUGCAUGUUGAUGCGGAUCUAGAUACCCAAGUGCUUCCAUUAUAGCCCAUGGUGCAUGUUGAUGCGGAUCUAGAUACCCAAGUGCUUCCAUUAUAAUAGUUUCCACUUUAAUUUAAUUCCGCCAUUCCAAUUUAAAUUUUAAGAUAUUCCAAAUCAUUUUCACCACAAAUCCAUCCACCCAUUUAGAAAAUUAAUUCUACACACAAUUAAAAUCCACAUCAUCGUUGGAUCGACACUUGUCACCAUUAAUCUAUUGUACAAUAGAUUUCGUGCACUUGUGGGUUCAAUAAAAUUUGCACAACAAGUUUUUGGCGCCGUUGCCGAGGAGGUAAGUUAUUUUAAUUUGUAGACUUAAUUUUUGUAAAAAAAUUUCUUUUAGUUAUUUUUCUUGUAAUUUUUUUUAUUUAAAAAAAAGAAAGAAAAAAGAGUGAAUUUACAUUUUGAGCUAAGAAUUUUUUUUCUCUCUUCUUUAAAAUUCUGUAAUUUAAUUUUCAAGUUAUUUUUUUUGUUUAUCUUAUUAAUUUAUUUUUAGUUAAUUUAUUUCACGUAUUUAUUUUAGUGUGUUUUUAUAGAAAUGUUGUAACAGUGUGAUAAGGUUAGUCAUUCUUCUUUAUUUUUAUUUGUUUUGUUCCCAUUUUUUGUGCUCUUUGCAUGCAUGGUCGAAAAUCAUUAUUACCUAAUCUUGAAUCUAUAGACCUUAAACUUGAAAAAACACUUCGCACACACAAACACGUUGUAAUUAAAAAUAAAAGUGAAAUGGAUUUGCAACAACAACAACCACCACAGGAGAGGCAAUUUAAGGAUUACUUCAGUCCUUUAACUAAUUUGAGCACAUCAUGCAUAAGAUACCCAAAUGUAGGUGCUAGAAGUUUUGAACUAAAAUCUAGUGUGCUAAAUUGUCUCCCAACAUUCUAUGGCCUAGAAAAUGAGGACCCAUAUAAUCAUUUGAGUGAUUUUCAUGCUGUUUGUCAAACAUUUAAAUAUGAGAAUUUUUCAGAUGAUGAUGUUAAACUUAGACUAUUCCUAUUUUCUUUAAAGGAUAGAGUUCGUUCAUGACUCAAUAUAUUGCCUGCUAAUAGCAUUACAUCAUGGGAACAAAUGGUAACAAAAUUUUUGAAUAAAUAUUUCCUAGUGCAUAAAACCAAUGCUAUUCGCAGGGAAAUUUCAGAGUUUACCUAGAAAGAAGACGAGCAGUUUUUCGAAACAUGGGAGCGAUUUAAUGGGCUACUCUUGAAGUGUCCACAUCACGGGUAUGAGAAAUGACACCAAUGCCAAUACUUUUUUGGAGGGAUUAUUGCCACAUGUGCAAUAAUGGCAAAUGACAACAAGUGGAGGAGAGCUAAUGUCAAAAAGUGCAUCAGAGAUUUGGGAAUUCUUCCAGCGACAAGCAUAUAAUUCCCAACAACGGAGUCGAUCGCUCAGGAACACUAAAAGAAUUAAAGGAGUAAAUGAGGUUUACAUUGGCGAGUCAACUUCGGGAAUCAAAGAAGUUAAGGAGAUGGUUGAAGGUCUUUCUCAACACCCAAUUUUUCAUGGUCUCAAGGAUUCCAACAGAAUGGACCAGUAGCUCCAGCUCCACCAAUGCAACCAAUUCCUCAAAUUCCUCAAGCCUCUCAGCCACCAUUUAGACCAUACAAUCAGAACCUAAACUACUCUCAACCCAGACAAUGAGAGGAUGCAUUCUAGAAUUUCAAGAAUAUUACUCACUCUACGAUUGAGCAACAGAACCGCACCAUUGAUGGACUACGAAAUGAGAUGAGAGCAGGCUUCAACUCACAAGCCCAAUCAGUUUCAAGCCUUGAGAAGAUGGUGGGGCAACUUGCUUCUUCAGUUCAGACCUUGGCAAUGACUGUUGAGAAAUAUAAAUUUCCAAGUCAACUAGUGCCUAAUCCUAAAGGAGUACAUGAAGUAAGUACCAAUUCACCACAACAGCAUGGAGAGGUCAAAGCAGUCAUGACCGUCCGAAAAGGAAAAAAGAGGUUAGCUAAAGGAAAAAAAGGAAAAAUCCACAGGUGAGAUUCUUGAAAUCUUCAAACAGGUAAGUGUUAACAUCCCUUUACUUGAUGCUAUUAAGCAAGUUCCAUCUUAUGCCAAGUUUCUUAAAGACCUUUGUACUAAAAAGAGAAACAUUCACGUUCAAAAGAAGAUUUUUUUUAACAGAAAAUGUUAGUUCUAUACUCCAACACAAAAUUCCUCUAAAAUACAAAGACCCAGGCUCCCCCACUAUCUCAUGUAGUAUAGGGAACCACACAAUUGAGAAUGCUUUGUUGGAUUUAGGAGCUAGUGUAAAUCUGUUGCCUUAUUCAGUAUUUGUGAAACUUGGACUUGGAGAAUUACACCCAACUCCAGUGGUGUUACAGCUUGUAGAUCGGUCCACGAAAAUACCUCGUGGUAUUGUGGAUGACGUACUUAUCCAGGUAGACAAGUUUUAUUUUCCUGUUGAUUUCAUUGUAAUUGACACUCAACCAAUCCAGGAUUCAAGGAAGCACAUCCUCAUUAUCCUCGCCCGACCUUUCUUGGCAACUGCCGAUGCUCACAUUCAAUGCAGAACUGGAAAUAUGCAGUUGUCAGUGGAGUUACAACUUGCAGAUCGGUCCACGAAAAUACCUCGUGGUAUUGUGGAGGACGUGCUUAUCCAGGCAGACAAGUUUUAUUUUCCUGUUGAUUUCAUUGAUGCAGUUGUCCUUUCAAUCCAGGAUUCAAGGAAGCACAUCCUCAUUAUCCUCGCCCGACCUUUCUUGGCAACUGCCGAUGCUCACAUUCAAUGCAGAACUGGAAAUAUGCAGUUGUCCUUUGACAACAUGACUAUGGAGCUAAACAUCUUCAACAUUGCCAAACAACCUCACAAUGCAGGUGAUGAAAUUGCUGACGUGGAUUUAAUAGAAGAAAUUGUUGAUAAUACUUUUCUUUCAAACCUUAGUGAUGAUCCUUUACAAACAUGUUUAACUCACUUUGGUUUUGAUUUUGAUAUUGACAGAUCGGUCGAUGAGGUCAAUGUUCUACUUGACUCAACACCAUCCAUGGACACUAAUAAAUGGAAGUCAAGAGUUGAACAACUAGUACAAUAGAGAAGAAACUCAUCCAUCAUCAUAAUCACCACCGAAACUUGAGCUCAAACCAUUACCUAACACAUUAGAAUAUGCAUUUUUUGGAGAAGAAAGUACUAUACUAGUAAUCAUCUCAUCAUCCCUAAAUGACGAACAAAAAGGUAAGUUGUUGGAUGUUUUAAAAGAGCACAAAUGAGCAUUAGGAUGGACCAUAGCAGACAUAAAAUGUAUAAACCCAGUAGACUGCAUGCAUUACAUUCACCUUGAUGAAAAUACUAAACCUACUAGGGAAAUGCAACGUCGGUUAAAUCCUAACAUGAAAGAAGUUAUUGGAACUGAAGUCCUUAAGCUAUUAGAUGCAGGUAUCAUUUAUCCCAUUUCUGAUAGUUCAUGGGUCAGUCAUGUACAAGUUGUCCCCAAAAAGUCAGGAGUCACAGUAAUUACGAAUGCCGAUAAUGAAUUGAUACCCACUAGAGUAAUUACAGGAUAGCGUGUAUGCAUUGAUUAUAGAAAGUUGAAUUCUGUCACACGUAAAGAUCAUUUUCCUUUACCAUUUAUCGAUCAAAUGCUUGAUAGAUUAGCAGACCAUGAAUUUUAUUGUUUAAGUUCCAUCUUAUGCCAAGUUUCUUAAAGACCUUUGUACUAAAAAGAGAAACAUUCACGUUCAAAAGAAGAUUUUUUUUAACAGAAAAUGUUAGUUCUAUACUCCAACACAAAAUUCCUCUAAAAUACAAAGACCCAGGCUCCCCCACUAUCUCAUGUAGUAUAGGGAACCACACAAUUGAGAAUGCUUUGUUGGAUUUAGGAGCUAGUGUAAAUCUGUUGCCUUAUUCAGUAUUUGUGAAACUUGGACUUGGAGAAUUACACCCAACUCCAGUGGUGUUACAGCUUGUAGAUCGGUCCACGAAAAUACCUCGUGGUAUUGUGGAUGACGUACUUAUCCAGGUAGACAAGUUUUAUUUUCCUGUUGAUUUCAUUGUAAUUGACACUCAACCAAUCCAGGAUUCAAGGAAGCACAUCCUCAUUAUCCUCGCCCGACCUUUCUUGGCAACUGCCGAUGCUCACAUUCAAUGCAGAACUGGAAAUAUGCAGUUGUCCUUUGACAACAUGACUAUGGAGCUAAACAUCUUCAACAUUGCCAAACAACCUCACAAUGCAGGUGAUGAAAUUGCUGACGUGGAUUUAAUAGAAGAAAUUGUUGAUAAUACUUUUCUUUCAAACCUUAGUGAUGAUCCUUUACAAACAUGUUUAACUCACUUUGGUUUUGAUUUUGAUAUUGACAGAUCGGUCGAUGAGGUCAAUGUUCUACUUGACUCAACACCAUCCAUGGACACUAAUAAAUGGAAGUCAAGAGUUGAACAACUAGUACAAUAGAGAAGAAACUCAUCCAUCAUCAUAAUCACCACCGAAACUUGAGCUCAAACCAUUACCUAACACAUUAGAAUAUGCAUUUUUUGGAGAAGAAAGUACUAUACUAGUAAUCAUCUCAUCAUCCCUAAAUGACGAACAAAAAGGUAAGUUGUUGGAUGUUUUAAAAGAGCACAAAUGAGCAUUAGGAUGGACCAUAGCAGACAUAAAAUGUAUAAACCCAGUAGACUGCAUGCAUUACAUUCACCUUGAUGAAAAUACUAAACCUACUAGGGAAAUGCAACGUCGGUUAAAUCCUAACAUGAAAGAAGUUAUUGGAACUGAAGUCCUUAAGCUAUUAGAUGCAGGUAUCAUUUAUCCCAUUUCUGAUAGUUCAUGGGUCAGUCAUGUACAAGUUGUCCCCAAAAAGUCAGGAGUCACAGUAAUUACGAAUGCCGAUAAUGAAUUGAUACCCACUAGAGUAAUUACAGGAUAGCGUGUAUGCAUUGAUUAUAGAAAGUUGAAUUCUGUCACACGUAAAGAUCAUUUUCCUUUACCAUUUAUCGAUCAAAUGCUUGAUAGAUUAGCAGACCAUGAAUUUUAUUGUUUUCUAGAUGGUUACUCAGGAUAUAAUCAGAUUCCUAUAGCACCAAAAGAUCAAGAGAAAACUACAUUCACUUGCCUUUUUGGCUCUUUUGCAUAUAUGAGGAUGUCAUUUGGAUUAUGUAAUGCACCUGUUAUAUUUCAGCGAUGCAUGUUGAGCAUUUUUUCUGAUAUAGUUGAACGAUUUCUUGAAAUCUUUAUGGAUGAUUUUUCUGUCUUUGGUGAUUCAUUUGAUCAAUGUUUACAUCAUCUAACAUUAGUUGUGCAGAGAUGUAUCGAGAAGAACUUAGUCUUAAAUUAGGAGAAUUGUCAUUUUAUGGUAAAAUAAGGUAUUGUUCUCGGUCACAUCAUUUCGAGCAAAGGUAUUGAGGUUAAUAAAACCAAUGUGGAUCUCAUUUCCAAUCUUCCUCCACCUAAAACAGUCAGAUAAAUAAGAUCUUUCCUUGGGCAUGUUAGUUUUUAUAGACAUUUCAUUAAAGAUUUUAGCAAAGUUUCUAGACCCUUAUGCAAUUUACUUGCUAAGGAUGUACUUUUUAUCUUUGAUGAUUUAUGUCUUGUACCAUUUGAAAAACUAAAGCAAUUGUUGACAUUAUCACCCAUUAUUCAGCCCCCAAAUUGGAGCUUACUAUUCGAGCUCAUGUGUGAUGCAUCUGAUUAUGCAGUAGGAGUAGUUUUAGGAUAAAUAGUUGAUCGAAUUCCCCAUGUUAUUUACUAUGCUAUUAUGACAUUGAAUGAUGCACAGUUGAACUAUUUAACUACUGAAAAAAAAAUGUUAGUAGUAGUGUUUGCAUUAGAGAAAUUUCGAUAUUAUCUCAUUGGUUGUAAAAUAAUUAUAUUCACAGAUCAUACUGCUCUUAAAUAUCUUCUCACAAAGAAAGAUGCAAAAGCUAGGCUAAUUCGUUGGGUGUUACUUUUGCAGGAGUUCAACUUAGAAUUUAAAGAUAAGAAAGACACAAAGAAUGUUGUGGCUGACCAUCUUUCUCGUCUCCAUUUUGACACAAUUACAGAACCAUUAACAUUGAAUGAGUCAUUUCCAGAUGAACAAUUGAUGAGUGUGGAAGUAUUACCAUGGUAUGCUGACAUCGUGAAUUAUCUUGUUACAAGUCAACUUCCAGAGCAUUGGACCAAGCAAGACAAAGUCAAAUGUUUUACGGAAAUAAAGAAUUUCUUUUGGGAUGACCCUUAUUUGUUCAAGUAUUGUGCAGAUCAAAUUAUUAGACGAUGUGUCCCAGAAAGUGAAAUUCAGAAUAUCAUUUCAUUCUGCCAUGAACAAGCUUGUGGAUGCCAUUUUAGUUCUAAGAAAACAGAUACAAAAGUUUUACAAUGUGGUUUUUAUUGGCCAACUAUAUUUCGAGAUGCUUACAUUUUCUGUUCUUCAUGUGAUAGAUGUCAACGAAUGAGGAGCAUUACGCGAAGGAAUAUGAUGUCACUAAACCCAAUUUUAGUGGUCGAGAUUUUUUAUGUAUGAGGUAUCGACUUCAUGGGACCCUUUCCUUCUUCUUUUGGUCACCAAUACAUAUUGGUUGCUGUUGAUUACAUAUCGAAAUGGAUAGAAGCAAUUCCAUAUACAACCAAUGAUCACAAGGUGGUGAUAGGAUUUUUGAAAAGCAACAUUAUUUCACGCUUUGGAUUCCCUCGAGUAAUAAUCAGUGAUGGUGGUGCCCACUUUUGUAACAAAGCAUUCAAGGUUCUUUUGACGAAAUAUUCAAUCACUCACAAAGUGGCGACCUCAUAUCAUCCGCAAACCAGUGGCCAAGUUGAAAUCUCCAAUCGAGAAAUAAAGCACAUAUUAGAAAAAACAGUGAGACCAGACAGAAAAGAUUGGUCAUUAAGACUCGAUGAUGCAUUAUGGGCAUAUAGAACGGCUUUCAAGACCCUGAUUGGGAUGUCACCAUACAGGCUAGUGUAUGGAAAAACUUACCACCUAUCUGUGGAACUCGAGCAUCGUGCAUACUAGGCCAUCAAAAAAUUCAACUUUGACAUGCAGCAAGCUAGCUCAGAAAGAAGAUUACAGCUGGUAGAACUUGAAGAAAUUUACAAUGAUGCAUAUGAAAAUGCCAAGAUUUACAAGCAGCGAAUGAAAGUCUUUCAUGACAAGCAAAUUAUGAGAAAAUCUUUCACUCCAGGUCAGAAAGUGCUUUUAUUCAAUUCUCGCUUACACAUAUUCCCAAGUAAGUUACGCUCUCGAUGGUUUGGCCUCUUUAUUGUUCACACUGUUUUUCCACAUGGGGUAAUUGAAAUUAAGGAGCCAAAGAACAAUGUCACUUUUAAAGUUAAUGUUCAAAGAUUAAAGCCAUAUCUAGAGUACCAACCACAUGGAGAGGACACCGAAAUAAAUUUGAGUGACCCACUAGAUUUAAAUUGAGUUUUUUUUUUCUUUUCGGUGAUUUGAUUUUUUUUCUUUCUUUUUACUAUUCUUUUGCUAAUUGAAAUUAUUUUUGCAUAAGUGUGUUUGUUUAACCAUUAAGUUUUCUCUUAUCAUUGUUAAUCAUGAGUGUCAUAGUUAAACAGUUCCUCCUGGACAUUCUUAGACCACUUCAACGUGUAAAAUCUCAUCUCAAAAGACAUAUUCGAUUUUGUAAAACACAUCGUAUUUGGGCUCUGCAACCACCAUAGUUAGUAUCCCAUGUUGAGGAUUUAAAAAGCCAACUCAGAGAUAUUGAGAGAGGUGUCUACAACAUCCAGUGGCAGCUUGAGGUAAAUUUAAUAAGAAGACGAUUGUAAUUUUUCUUUAUGUGUUUUAGUUUGUUUUUCUUUGUUUUUGUGCUUUAGUUUGUUACCCCGGUGAAGUGGCGGAUAACGGUACUCCGUGACAAUCAAGUCGGUAACUUCAGUUUCCCAUAAUAACUGAUAUUCUGAGGCUAAGGUAUGGACAGAAACGAGAUUCUAGUGAAGAUUCACAAUCGAUUCCCUUCACUUCCUUAGAAUGCCCUCCUUACAAUCUAUAAAGCUCGAUCCGAACACAUGUGAUUGCUCAUGAGGAAUAACAUACCUGCUGACAUCCGUUGGUUAAUCGAGGCUAAAGUACGAUUGGCAGGUGAGUUACCUCCAAAAUUUAUUGCAUACAUGCCUGGUUGUGGUAAAGGAAAUUAUGUAAGAAAACGAAGAGCUCAAAAAAUUUCUGUUGCUUGUCAUAAGUGUGCCAGAAUGAGUUGCGAUAAAAAACAUGUUCUUUAGGAAUGGUGUCUGAUAACAAGGAAGAUAAGAUUCAAUUCAUUAGGGAUGGGUUGAAUAAAGAGUCAUUGGAUGAUAUCAUUUUGUCUCUUUAAACACAUCACAGUGGAUAUGUGCAAGAAGCGAUUCUCCAGUUAUGGUCAUUAUUCCAGAAAGAGCAUGCACGAUAUAGUCUCGGGAAUCUGAGUCGAAGAUGGUUGAAUAUGGUGAUGACUGAAUAUGGAGUGUAGUUACUCUAGAAACGCAUCUUCUUUGUUAAAAAAAAAUAAAAAAAAUUCCAUUUUUUCUUUAUUAAGCUUUGAUAUUCAUUUUUUUAACUUCUUCUUUUUAAUUUCUCCUUUAUAAAUAUACAAUUUCAAAUUUUUGAGUCAAAAAUGGCUGAAUAUAGAGUGUAAUGCGUCUAGAAACACAUCUUCUUAAUAUUGGAUGACAUGAUGAAUUUCAAAUUUUAGUAUUUGCAUUAUCUUUGGUCUUAAGUGAUUUUACGCCAUGUUUGCUACUCUACAUGUUGAUGUCGGAGACAAAUAUGAGUUGCUUAAAGGAAUGAACAUGUCAUAAUAAAUACUAAGUGAGUCAUUUUUCUUGGAGAGUAACCCUUUUUACCCAUUCGUCAUACAGCUUAGCAGUUUAUUAUUUUAUACACGAUCUUUAGAUUUCUUUUGAGUUAACCCUUAAAAAAAAUUGUAAAAUUAAAAAAAAAAGAAAAAAAUGUGUGUUGCUACAUCUAGAGGCCCAUCUAACUAGUAAAUAUGGAAGAGUAUUUAGAGCCCUAAAAGAUGAUGAAAAGACCAUCUUUGACCCGUUUGAGCCUUUAUAGCCAUCCCUUUUGUGAAAAAUCCAUAUCUCGCUACAUAAGUUGUCUUUGGCUCAUCGUCCUUCACAAUCCGCACUUUGUAGUAUCCUGACCUAAGGUCAAGCUUGGAGAAGUACUUGAACAGUCCAAGUUGGUCGAACAAGUCCGCAAUUAGUGGGAUGAGAUACUUGUUCUUCACAGUCAGCUUUUUGAGGGCUCGGUAGUCGAUACACAGUCGAAGUGAGACAUCAUGCUUCCGUUGGAACAGCACCGGUGCCCCAUAUGUUGCCUUCGAAGGUUGGAUAUAUCCUGCAUCCAGCUGCUCUUUGAUUUGCCUCCACAACUCCUCUAACUCCUAUAGAGACAUGAAGUAUAGUGCUUUCAUAAACGAUUUGGCACUCAACUCCAACUCAAUCUUAUGGUCUACCUCCAUCAUGGCGACAACUAUUUUGGCAACUCGGGUGACAUCACAUCUUUAUACUCCUCAAGGACUUGGGCUAUUGCCUCUGGUAUGGGCUCCAUGGCCAUAACGUCCUUCCCGUCAUGCUGCUUGCAACCCUUGUUGAUUUGCAUUACGAAAAGUUGGCCUGGUGGUAUGGUCGUGCUCACUUUCGGGACUAAGCAUAGGGCUCCCUCUAGGAUGCACAUUGAGUUGUACCUCAGAAAUGGCACCGCAUUGAAUUGUCUUAAAAAUUUCAUGCCCAAAACAAGCGUGAAGUCAUCCAAAGGUACAACGGAAAAGUGAGUCUUACCUCACCAAGGGCCUAGGUGUAGCUCCACAUCAUGUGCUACCUCGUAGAGUGGUUUGGCCUCCAAAUUCACUGUCUUCAGCCAGCCAUCUGUUUUCUCGACCUUAAGUCCAAGUCGCUUGGCCUUAUCCACCUUGAUGAAGUUGUGGGACACUCCCCGUGUUAAUCAAGACAUGAGCUCGUUUCCCAUUGAUUGUGGCCUCGAUGUGCAUGAACGACUUGUCCUGCACCUUUGCUAGAAUUGGCUUGGUAUUCAACGUAUUGAAGAGUUGAAGACAGCCUAUGUUUGCAGCAUCGACUAGUGGUGCCUCUGGUUGCUUCUCCCUAGUCUUGCUAAACAUGGUGUUGAAAGCCUUAUUGUGUUUGCGUUUGGCAUCAUUCUUGCCAUCUUUCAGGCCAUCCCUCAAGCCAUCCUUCUUUUAUGGCUUAUCAUUGCCAUCGUGGUGUUGCGACUUAUCUCCCUUUGCUUCCCCAUCUUUGCCAUGUUGGGGUUUAUUAUCCUUCUUCGGUUUGGACAACUCACCCUUCUGAAACUCCACAAGUGUGUCCGCCUCAAUGAGGGCUAUAGAGAUGUCAUUCACUUGGCGCCGGUGUAACUUAUAUUGUGCCCACGGUUGGAGUCCCCCCAUGAAAUUGAACAACAAGUCAUCCGUGUUCAUGUUGUCAAUUUGGAGUAUGAGCUUAGAGAAAUCAUCAACAUACUUCGAGAUGGACAUCCUAUGCUUCAACUCUCGCAUCUUUUUGCGAGCCUCACACGUCACAUUCCCCGAAUAGAAUUACUUCUUGAGCUCGCACUUCAGCAAGUCCCAUGUGUUGAUGAUGCACGUCCCGCGCACAAUCUCUGCAUGCUUCCACUGCCAUCAAGCAAUCACGUGGUCCUCAAGAUACCCCUUCGCAAUGUUCACAUUCUCUUGCUCACUUUGGCAUUGCGCCACCACAUCUUGGCUCAGGUUGCCCAUCCAUUCCCCAAAUUCAUCCAUUUCUGCUCAAAGAUCUCGAGGUGUUCCUUAAUCUCAUAGACGACAACCUCCCCACGGACAACCCGAUUCUCCAUGGCGUUGAGCAAGUCCAUGAACUUCUCCUUGUUGUUUUUCCCUUUUUUUUCCCAUUGGGGUUAGGCUCCCUCACCCUUUGGUCAUCAUGAGUGAGUUCCGACAUCAUUCUUUUCGAACAACGCAAUUAUCCCACGAGUGUUGACAGCUCUGAUACCAUCACGACUCGGUUAUAUCCCACGUUGUGCCGUGCGGCCUUAGGUGCUAAAUUCGCACUCUCUUGUCCCUAAGUCAGCCUUACACUCAAAUCUGCUGCUGGAUUCGAAAACUGGAAAGUGUAUUCACUCAAAAUCACACAAGAUGGAGAAAAGGACUUGUAUUGCUUGAUGAAAUGCUUACAAUGCUUGGUAUUGUGUUGCUUGUUAUGUGUUGUGUGUAUUGGCCAAAUGAAGCCCCCUCUUAUGUAUAGAGUACAAGAGAGUGGAUUAAUGCUCAACUACUAUCUACCACCUACCCAUAAUAAGUACAUGAGAAAUAUCUACACACUACAUGAGUCUAGAAUCAUCCAUGGGCUAGGCCAUGCUACUUGGAGGCUUGGGCCAUGACAACAGGCACUUUCUUGCAAAAUCACCUACAUUCAUAGAAAAGAUUAGAGGGAUGUUAAAGGUUUCUUCGGCGUGAACUCUUUGAGCUCAAGUUAGUUAUUUGGGAUUUUGGAAAAACUUGUCCCUCAACUCAAGUAUUGCUUCUGAAUAAAAAAGCUUUGUUAAAAAUCUCAAGAAAGCUAGAAAAAUCUUAGAGAGAGUGUGUGUCUUCAAUGGUGGAAAGAGAUAAAGAAAUACUUGUCUAGUUUGAAUUUUCAGGGGUUUUUAUAAAGAUCCGAAACCCACGACCUUGGAUUGAAGGAAUAGUCAUUAGUGGAUUAAGUUCGCGUCAUGAUCUCAGAGGAGAUCAGCGAGUUGAUUUUUGACCAAGUCUUUAGGUUGACUUGGUCUAAGCCUCUUCUCAGAUGACUUGCACAAGCAAACUUGUAACGAAACAUGCUCGCUUCAACUAAUUAACUCGAGGAAGUCACUUGCGAGCUCCAUCCAACAUAUCUUGAGGAGGCCUUUCGCUAUCCUAUGAUUCAUGCAAAGACGCACGCAAUUGUGCUCUGUCACUUAUUCCUCAAACAGGUGUCAUGCCUAUAAUUCUUCGUAUAGCAUAUAUUUCUUUCAUCUCAUACACCAAUCACCUUGAGCUGCCACAUCUAUCUCCACAAUUUUAUCUAGAACAUAAAAGAAAACAAGAACCCCAAAGAAUUGAAGAUCAAGUUGCUUUCCAACCUAGGUCCUGAAUAUGAAUAAUUCAAAUUAGAAAAGUAGUUAUAAAUUGACCUUACUUACCAAUCUUGUGGAUCAUUUGAUCCAAUUUAAUUUUCUGUGCAUUCUCCACUCUUUUGUAUUAGAGCACAGGAAUAUUAUUCCUGUGCUAAAUAAGGCAUGGGUUUUUUUGCACAAAAGAACACCACUUGUGCAAGUUGUGACGUAACCCUAUUAGGAAAAUUAGGACCACGUUUUAGUAGAAAGAUGGUAUGUUAAUGCAAGUUCUUGUCUUAUUCUACUAGCUAUAUAUUGCAGAUUUUUCAACCCCAAGACGAUGCAGAUGAACAACAAGCCUUUACAACAAUUUCUUCACGGAACUUCUAUGUUGAAAUACAUGGCUAAAAGAUGAUUCUCAACUUCUUCCACAUCUUUGAUUACUUGCCGCAGGCUGCAGCAAAAUGAUAGGCCAGGUGCAAAAAAUUUUAUCUCCGAAAGCAAAUAUUAUAGUUGCUGCAAUUUUGUGGGUUAUGUCACAUAGUCACAACGUUAUCUUUCUCCUGAAUAAAUGAGAGAAAUUAAAUAAAAAAAAGUCAUUCCAUUCUUUGUAAAUGACAUUUUCUGCUUGUGCCCACAGAAUUGUUCCAAUGUUGGUGAUUAGUACAGUAAUUAUUCAUCUUGCUUUAUUCGUUAAUGAUACAUAAUCAGUUAUCUAUAAGAGGUCGGCUUUUAUGGGCAAGAGUUUAGUUAUCAAUAUAAUAGUAACUGAAAGCAGUUCACAGACCUGACACUGUUACUAGAGUGAGUACCAAAGAGCAUUUAGAGACAGAAACUAUUAUCUUCUUGCUUUUAAGUACUCAAAUAACAUUGGAAGGCACCCGUGGGGUAAGGGUAACCUCCAAUGGUGUUGCUUUAGGGACAGUGAUCCCAGGGCUUCCACUCAUAUCAACUAAUGUGUCUGAGACCGUCCCUAAGCUGAAUGCAUGGAGCAGGCGUGCCAAUGUCAAGUGCUGAACCUGAAGAGCAAAUGAGAUCCCUGGACACUUCCUUCUACCAGAGCCAAAUGGUAAAAAUUCAAAAUCCUGACCAUUAACAUCCAACUUGGCAUUUUCAUUUAGGAAUCUAUCAGGUAUAAAUUCUGACGGGUUUGCCCAAAUGCUGGGAUCACGAUGCAUCUUCCACAAGUUAACUAUAAGCCGUGUGCCUGCUGGGAUGUGGAAACCAUCAAUGGUGCAAUCCUCCAUGGCCUCACGUGGAGCUGAAAGUGGUAGCGGAGGGCAUAAUCUUAAUGUUUCUUUGACAAUUGCUUGUAAGUAUAUCAGGUUCUUAAUAUCAGAUUCCUCAACUUGCCGAUUCUUUCCAACAUGGAUGUCGAGCUCAUCUUGUGCCUUUUUUAGUACAUGCCGGUUGUUCAAUAGAAGAGAUAGUGCCCAUGUAAUUGUGGUCACUGUGGUAUCAUUGCCACCUGAUAUUAGGCUCUGCAAAAUGAACAAGAGUACACAGAGAGAUGGUCACUUAAAUAGUUAUCAUUCCAGUAAUCUGUAGUUACUGAUAGAUGAUGAGCAGAUGGAUUUCAUUGGCUUUCCUAUAUCACCUUUUAUUUUAAUUUAGCUUUUGCCAAAAGAAACAAAAAAUCAAUCGUCAUAUUCUCAACAGUUUUCAGGAGAGAUCAGACCCUAGCCAAAUUAAGUUUAAUUUUUCUAAUGCUUUUGCAUCUUCAUCGUAGACAGUAGUUAAUUUCUCUCUUAUCUGUGUAAAUCUAUGUUGCAGAAUUCCCAGGGACUUACCAAGCACGUGGCCUUAAUGACAGUAUCGGCAUCCUCAGGAGAAGUCUUGCCAUCAUCCAUGACAGACAGCAUGACAUCAAUGAAGUCUUCCUCAUCCUUGUUGAUGCUCCCGUUGAGCCUCUUA